AUCCGAAUAAACAGAAGGUCAAACCUUCUUCUAUUUGCCGUAACAACCUUCAUGCCGGCCUGUACAGGCGGCCUGUACACAGCCCAUAUGACACUUGAACCCACGACCGACAUGAUGUUAAGUCGUGCUAGCUGACGACUACACCAUGGUACCACCCCUAUGUCAACUUUAUAGGUACAGGUUGGACUCCGUUUCUGAUUAAGGCCCAUCACUAAUAUGUUUCGGACUACUUCAUAUCCUCCUUCCGAUAUCAUACGAUUUUGCAUAUCAUAGCAAUAUUGGUGUUGGGGAGCAGCAACUUCAGCAGAAUCGGUGUAGCCAUUCCGUUUCGUUAUGGGUGGCCGCUAACAGUUGAAAGCAAGCGCCCAAUCGUGUCAGUACUAUCCGGCCAUCGCUCUGACGCACAAGAUGGGAUGGCCGGUAUUUUUGAACUUUAGAAAGAAUAUCCGAACACACGCAGCGUUCGUCUGUGUGAUAUUGAUUCUAUAUGCGAUAUUCUCUAUCCUUACUGGAGUGGCUUGGUGGUUGGAGCUAAAAAUGCAGACCGGAUCGGACAAAAUAGAUUAUGAAGUGAAAGCUGAAGCAUUCAGUCCUAAGAGCAAGAGGUCAAUUGAUGCGGGGUGGUCAUUCAAUGCAGUGGGCGAUGGUGGAUCCGGCACAACCAGGUUGCGGAGGUCAAUUCGAAAAUUGUUUUCUUCGAAGAGUAAAAAGAAAAGGGUUAAUACAAUGUUCUCGGCAUUCAACCACGAGAUCAACCAGCAUAACAACCAGGAGAUCAAUCAGGACAACACUCAAUACAUCAACCAGAGGAUCAGCCAAGAUACCAUUCAGAAGGUCAUCCAGGAGAUCAACCAGGAGAUCAACCUGGAGAUCAUGUUCAUCAAAGUAGGCUUCCUCAUCAUGAGUAUUGUGAGUUCGUUCAUUACAAUUAUGUACUGGAUCGCGUAUCUCAAGCGUCAACAGUUGUUUCUCGUAAUAUUUAUCGGACUUAUGACCUUUGCUUUUGUGGCUCUAUCCAUCGGGAUGUUCGUCAUGAUACAGCAGCUGAAAUUCAUCUGGGCGUGCGCAAUGCUAUUCGGAUUCGUCGUGAACGGAUAUGUGCUGACGGUGGCGCUGCAACUGCAUUCCAAUUUUAAAUUUACCCGGCGACGACAAGGAUACGGCACCGAGGUGUGUGUGCUUCCCUUGAAGUAAUGGUAACAGAUUUGCAACGCUAUUCUUGAAUGCAUGGAAAAUAGUGGUAUAGUUUGGGAAGGUGAAUUAUUUGCAAAAAAUGCAAACGAUCGACAGACCGUGGUGCAAACUGUGUCUUGGUGAUUGUGAUCAGUCCUCUAUUGAUCAUCGUACGAAAACGCAUCGUUUUAGCAAUAUAAAACCAACCUACCAAGUGAGAUCGGGUUAGCUUGUUCGGUAGAUGUAUUUGAUAUUCUAAACGCGAUGCUUCCAUUGUGAGAGCACGUUACAAUUCUUUCAUUUCGAAAGGAAACAGAAAACCACACAAGAUUGUUUGCAUAUAAUAUACACGAUUGUGCGAACAAAAUUUAAUCGAUAAACUUAACACGAAUUAACAUUACACGAAGCGUCACCCGAAGAGAACAUCUCUACGGUGUAUGGAUGGAGCUAUGCACAUGCAAGGGAAAUGCAUGUCAAAAACACGUUCCAAGUAGACAGAAAAGUGGUUGUGUGUAUUGGUGUGAUCGACAAAGUACACGGCACCGGAUUGUAAAGUGGAGAAUUUAUGGACCCGAAAAACGGUGCUGGAGACGGUUCGAACCUGGGUUCUGCAUUCAGAAUCUCUUGAGAAACAUUAGAUUGUUAAAUGUAAUUACUUAAAUGCGAAUUUGUUGAGGGUUUAUGCGUAAGCGUAAACAUUGUUUCAUUUAGUCCGAGGUGAUUCAUCAUCCCAGCGACUAGCUGGUUGUCGCCAAGAUUGGGAUAACACAGCGGCAUUGGUUAGGAAAUAACCCCACUAAAUCAGCAAUCGGCAGCUGCAUCUGCAGCUGCGAUGCAGCAGUUGCGCAGCACCCGAUUUACGAAUGGCCACCAACAGUUCACAGCUAGCACCCGAUCGUGGCGGUAGUAUCCAGUCACCACUCUUCGCAUUAUAAUCUUAGCAGUCACAAAAGAUGGGAUUGCCGACGUUUUUAAACUUUAACAAAAACAUCCAGAAACACGCCAUGACCGUGGGUGUAAUAUUGACGCUUUACACGAUCUUCACUCUGCUUAUCGGAGUGGCGUGGUUAAUUGAGAUCAAAGAGAAGGCCAGCCUGUACAAGUUAGAUUUUCGGGUGGACUUAACCGGAAUCCGAACAAUCAAUCCGAGGACGGCCAGCUUUUGGGAGAAGGAAGGCUUCCUCGUCAUGGGCAUUGGGUUUGCGAUUCUUGCAGUACUGUACUGGAUCACCUACCUCAUGCGUCAACGGUUGCUCCUCGCAGUGUUUAUCGGACUUAUGGUCAUAAUUGUAACGCUUAACAUCAUCGGGAUGGUUGCCGCGGGGCUGAAGCUGAAAUUCGUGUUAGCGUGCGUAGUGAUGUUCGGCCUCCCCGUCAACGUGUACAUGCUGGUGGUGGCGCUGCAACUGCAUAAAUCAAAAUUCAUUUUUACCCCGCGACAACAAGGCUAAAGGCGUGAGGCGAUCAUUGUAGUACAGCAUGUCCAACCAUAAGCCAGCGUUGUCAAACUUGUGUUUUCCACAAUGAUCUUUGUGGCUUAUCAACGCACUCAUUAGCUGUUUUUCGUUUAACAUAAUCUUGUUUCUUGUUCAUGUAUUAAACGGUCAAAGUUCCGAAACUGACAUAGACCGAACUAAUAGGAGAUUGUCAUUUAUCCAUUGCCAUUGAUUAGAAUAAAAAUAAAAAUGAAUGAUUGUUGGAUGUGAGAAGACAAUUUGCAAAUAA